UACGAAGGGGGCUAGCGUUGUUCGGAAUUACUGGGCGUAAAGCGCGCGCAGGCGGUUCUUCAAGUCAGAGGUGAAAGCCCAGAGCUCAACUCUGGAAUGGCCUUUGAGACUAGAGAACUAGGGUACGGGAGAGGUGAGUGGAAUUCCGAGUGUAGAGGUGAAAUUCGUAGAUAUUCGGAAGAACACCAGUGGCGAAGGCGGCUCACUGGCCCGGUACUGACGCUGAGGUGCGAAAGCGUGGGGAGCAAACAGG
rnacentral:rRNA from 1 species